UACGUAGGGCGCAAGCGUUAUCCGGAAUUAUUGGGCGUAAAGAGCUCGUAGGCGGUCUGUCGCGUCGGCUGUGAAAACUCGGGGCUCAACCCCGAGCCUGCAGUCGAUACGGGCAGACUAGAGUGCUGUAGGGGAGACUGGAAUUCCUGGUGUAGCGGUGAAAUGCGCAGAUAUCGGAAGGAACAUCAGUGGCGAAAGCGACUUCCUGGACCAAUACUGACGCUCAUGUGCGAAAGCGUGGGGAGCAAACAGG
rnacentral:rRNA from 1 species